rnacentral:tRNA from 2 species
CGCGGGAUGGAGCAGUCUGGUAGCUCGUCAGGCUCAUAACCUGAAGGUCAUAGGUUCAAAUCCUAUUCCCGCAACCA